rnacentral:lncRNA from 7 species
AAAACAAACUAAAACAAAAUCAUACAUGGAACAAAAAACAUAGUACCAUACAAUACUUUACAUCAAAAAAACAUCAUACAAAAAUCAUGAAAAUAAGCAACACCGAAACAUCAAGAGCAAAACAAAACACACACAAAUUUUGUUUUUCUCUGGUUAAGUCACUUGUCGAUCUUGAUGGCCUUAAACUAACAGGAAAAAUGAAGCAUCACCAUAAAAGCAGCAGCAAAACAAAACAAUACAUACAUGGAACAAAAAACAUAGUACCAUACAAUACUUUACAUUACAAUAUAAUACAUCAAGACAAACAUCACAC